GAUUCUGAGCAUGUGCUUUCAUACGACACCUGUCCAUAUUUGGAAAGAAGUUUAUGAACUUCAAGUUUGGAGUGAUCUUGUAACCUGGCUCUACAGGCCUCAUCCCAGCAGUCUUCGCUUUCAACACCCAGAGAAAGGCUGUCCAGGAGACUAAAACAACUUUACCAGAUUGAAACACUCAAGACAAAGGAGCCCAGGAACAAAAUUCAUCAGAAAACUAGAGGAAGUUUUCAUGGAGUUGCUGUGCUGGUGAUGCAAUCAGACAAGUUCUCUGCUGUUCUGGAGUUUACAUUUGGAAGAAUUGUGUUAUAUACCAGGGAAGGAUGUGGUAACUCUCCUGAAACCUUCCCUUGGUCAUUGUCUUCUUCUUCUUCUCCUCCUCCCUUUUCUCCCUCUCUUCCCCCUCCUCCUUCUCCUCUUAUUCUUCUUCCUCCUUCUGUUUUUAAAUGAGGAAGCCCAUAGAAAAUAUUGUGACAGGGAGAAAUGGAUUUUAAAUAAGUAUGACUGAAAAAAAACUUUUACUAUAAUAGAAAAUCUUGGUGCUGAGGGAAGAAAUCCAAAAAAUUAAAAAUCUUCAGAAGGUAUGUCUUUGAACAGACAAACAUUCAUGGACUUUUGAAAUUCAUUACUUCUUUGGUGCCUGGGAGACUGACUUGCUGUGUCUUUCAGCUCUUCUUGUUAGAGGGAUAAAGAUUCCGCCUAACAUAUUUUCUCAACAAACUUUUGCUUUCCAAUAAACUGAAUAAAGUGGGAAUAUAGCUUCUCACUUUCUCCUAACCUUCAAUUAAUUAUUAAUAAAAACUUUAAUGUACAUGUUAGUUCAAGCUUCUAUUUCAUAUUCUCCUUAAGAUGUUUACACAUCAACAGGGGCUAUAAUCUCAGAGUUUCCUGAAUAACUUGGGGUGAUGUUUCGAAUAGCAAUGCUGAGGGAAAUUGAGGGAAUCCGCUGGGGGAGAGAUGUGGUAGGUGGAAGGAAGUGUUUUGGGGCAGUCAAAGAUAUGGAUGAGCCCUUCCUCACUCGUUUGGGCCAGAGCUUCCUUCACAGCCCCCUCUGUUCUCUAACAAGGUGACUGUCUCAGUUUGGGGUGCAUGAAACCCAAAUCUACUCAAAGUAGAUCAAGAAAAAGAGAAAUUAUUGGAAGGAUUCAGGGAAACCUCACAGAAGUCAACUGUGGAAAGGCAGAUGGGGAACUCCCUGCUUUCUAAUCUCAACUUCUUUUUGUAUGUCUGUUCUGCUCCUGUUUUUCUUUUUUUUCUUUUUUUCUGUCUUUUUUUUCUUUUCUCUUUUCUU
rnacentral:lncRNA from 10 species